GGGGUUGUGGCUUAGCGGUAGAGCGCUCACCUAGCACAUGUGAGGCACUGGGUUUGAUCCUCAGCAAUUCUC
rnacentral:tRNA from 1 species